rnacentral:misc_RNA from 1 species
GUGGUUUGGAUGUGGGGGUUUGCUGGACUCUUAAAAAGGUUCAGCUCCUCUGAAAUGCAUUAGCAGAACAAACCUGUUCAUUGGUGUGAUAACUAUCUACGCUAUUGAAUGGUAAGGGGUCAGUUCAGCUUUCUAAUGGUCCUUGGACAAUUCAUCAUUAAUGUGACCUCAAAUCAGGUAGGACUACCCGCUGAACUUAA